CGCGCAGCCACCGAGCGCCCUGGAGCCGAGGCUGCGGGAGGGCGGCCAGCGCGCUCUCGCGUGCAGGGAAUUUCGCCCUGGAUCCUCCAGUUCCACAUGGACCAGAUACCUCCUUGCUGCUGUACCACCCUUCUGUUCCCAGUGUGUUUGCUUCCUCACCCAAGACUGCUUGAUUUCUAAUAGAACAGAGCUCAGCACAUGGUAGAGACCCAGAAACAUUGUAGCCUUUGAGGCCCUCCAAGGGAGGUUGGAAUAAAAAGACCUUGGAAACAGCAGCAGAUCACAAGUCCCAUCCCAUCAAGGAGGUGAGGAUUACAAAGGUCAUCUUGAUGUCCGUUCUACACAGAGAACUACAGGAACUCGGGAAAUGGAUGCUGUUCAUCCCCUGGGAGUUCAGCAGAUGUGAUGAUAAAGAGUGGAUGCCCAAGGGGUACCUUGCCCUCUUUACAGUGCAGGAGACCAGCGGGGCAGGGCUAUGGAAGGUGGCCCAUCGCCAGCUUGAGCACCGGCCCCUGUCCAUGGGUCCUGGCUGUGUGACCCUCUUUGAGUCUCCUUUUCUCUAUCUGUGAAAUGAGAAUAACAAGCAGCCUGCCUCCAUCACAGGGCUGUGGCUCCGCUUAAAAGAGAUAAUGGCCUAAAAGUGCUUUGUAAAGUGGAAGAGUUUGAUCCAAAAGGUAAGGGGUGAUUAUCCUUGUGAUGAUACAGAUCUAAGUGGGCAGCUGCAUUACUGAGGGUGGAGACCAGCUCCCUCUGGCCCUGGGAAAAAAGAACCGGAUGGAACACAGGUAUUAGGUGUGUGCUGGGGAGUUAGAAGGAGUGAGUUUGGAGAAGCCACGUGGCUAGACACUGGAAUAAUAUACUCUAGGGAGGACACUCCUGGACU